rnacentral:rRNA from 1 species
GCUUGCUCCUCUGAUCAGUGGCGAACGGGUGAGUAACACGUGAGCAACCUGCCCCAGACUCUGGGAUAACAGUUGGAAACAGCUGCUAAUACCGGAUACGAGACGGAGAGGCAUCUCUACCGUCUGGAAAGUUUUUCGGUCUGGGAUGGACUCGCGGCCUAUCAGCUAGUUGGUGAGGUAAUGGCUCACCAAGGCGACGACGGGUAGCCGGCCUGAGAGGGCGACCGGCCACACUGGGACUGAGACACGGCCCAGACUCCUACGGGAGGCAGCAGUGGGGAAUAUUGCACAAUGGGCGAAAGCCUGAUGCAGCGACGCCGCGUGAGGGAUGACGGCCUUCGGGUUGUAAACCUCUUUCAGCAGGGAAGAAGCGAAAGCGACGGUACCUGCAGAAGAAGCACCGGCUAACUACGUGCCAGCAGCCGCGGUAAUACGUAGGGUGCGAGCGUUGUCCGGAAUUAUUGGGCGUAAAGAGCUUGUAGGCGGUUUGUCGCGUCUGCAGUGAAAAUCCGAGGCUCAACCUCGGACUUGCUGUGGGUACGGGCAGACUAGAGUAUGGUAGGGGAGACCGGAAUUCCUGGUGUAGCGGUGGAAUGCGCAGAUAUCAGGAGGAACACCGAUGGCGAAGGCAGGUCUCUGGGCCGUAACUGACGCUGAGAAGCGAAAGCAUGGGGGAGCGAACAGGAUUAGAUACCCUGGUAGUCCAUGCCGUAAACGUUGGGCGCUAGGUGUGGGGCUCAUUCCACGAGCUCCGUGCCGCAGCUAACGCAUUAAGCGCCCCGCCUGGGGAGUACGGCCGCA